rnacentral:rRNA from 1 species
UACGAAGGGGGCUAGCGUUGCUCGGAAUCACUGGGCGUAAAGCGCACGUAGGCGGAUUGCUAAGUCAGGGGUGAAAUCCUGGAGCUCAACUCCAGAACUGCCUUUGAUACUGAGAAGCUCGAGUCCGGGAGAGGUGAGUGGAACUGCGAGUGUAGAGGUGAAAUUCGUAGAUAUUCGCAAGAACACCAGUGGCGAAGGCGGCUCACUGGCCCGGUACUGACGCUGAGGUGCGAAAGCGUGGGGAGCAAACAGG